rnacentral:rRNA from 1 species
AGAGUUUGAUCAUGGCUCAGAACGAACGCUGGCGGCGUGCCUCAUACAUGCAAGUCGAGCGAGAAAAUUCCCUUCGGGGAGUGAGUAAAGCGGCAAACGGGUGAGUAACACGUGGGGAACCUCCCCUCAGGUUGGGGACAAGCCUUCGAAAGGAGGUCUAAUACCGAAUAAUGUCAUUUGAUCGCAUGAUCGUUUGACCAAAGUAGCAAUACACCUGAGGAUGGCCCCGCGCCCCAUUAGCCUGUUGGUAGGGUAACGGCCUACCAAAGCUACGAUGGGUAGCCGGCCUGAGAGGGUGAUCGGCCACACUGGGACUGAGAUACGGCCCAGACUCCUACGGGAGGCAGCAGUAGGGAAUAUUGCGCAAUGGCCUAACGGCUGACGCAGCAACGCCGCGUGGAUGACGAAGCUUUUCGGAGUGUAAAAUCCUUUCAGCGGGGAAGAAUGCGCUUUCGGGCGCUUGAUGGUACCCGCAGAAGAAGCACCGGCUAACUCCGUGCCAGCAGCCGCGGUAAU